rnacentral:rRNA from 1 species
UACGUAGGGUGCAAGCGUUGUCCGGAAUUAUUGGGCGUAAAGAGCUCGUAGGCGGUUUGUCGCGUCUGCUGUGAAAACGCGAGGCUCAACCUCGCGCCUGCAGUGGGUACGGGCAGACUAGAGUGCGGUAGGGGAGAUUGGAAUUCCUGGUGUAGCGGUGGAAUGCGCAGAUAUCAGGAGGAACACCGAUGGCGAAGGCAGAUCUCUGG